rnacentral:tRNA from 2 species
GGAAGAGUGCCCGAGUGGUUGAAGGGAACAGUCUUGAAAACUGUCGAACCUGAAAGGGUUCCGUGAGUUCGAAUCUCACCUCUUCCG